CUACAAACAUAUAUGAAGAAUAGUUAAUUUAUUUUCUUUCAGCGUACCAUUUUUGCAGCAUGUCCUACCCAGCAUUUUAUGCCGAAAAUUAGAAUUAAAUAUAACUAAUUUACACGUGCAACAGUCUUUCAUUUUGAAUUUUCGAUAAUAGGAAAAAAAAAUAACUUAAGCAAUCUAACUUACUUGCAAGAAGCAAGAGUGGAUAAAACAGAACAUACAUUUCAUGAUAUUGCUAACAUUUUCUAUUACUUAUGUUUUCUACCAAACUAGUACUUCUACAUCAGGAAAAAUGCUUUGCAUAAGCAACAUUUCUCCUAUACUCAAGUUUGUUCACUAAAACGGAGAAUAAUAAGCUUCAAGAAAGG
rnacentral:misc_RNA from 1 species